rnacentral:rRNA from 1 species
AGUCGAGCGGUAGCACAGAGAGCUUGCUCUCGGGUGACGAGCGGCGGACGGGUGAGUAAUGUCUGGGAAACUGCCUGAUGGAGGGGGAUAACUACUGGAAACGGUAGCUAAUACCGCAUAACGUCGCAAGACCAAAGUGGGGGACCUUCGGGCCUCAUGCCAUCAGAUGUGCCCAGAUGGGAUUAGCUUGUAGGUGGGGUAACGGCUCACCUAGGCGACGAUCCCUAGCUGGUCUGAGAGGAUGACCAGCCACACUGGAACUGAGACACGGUCCAGACUCCUACGGGAGGCAGCAGUGGGGAAUAUUGCACAAUGGGCGCAAGCCUGAUCCAGCCAUGCCGCGUGUGUGAUGAAGGCCUUAGGGUUGUAAAGCACUUUCGCCGAUGACGAUAAUGACUGUAGUCGGAGAAGAAGCACCGGCUAACUCCGUGCCAGCAGCCGCGGUAAUACGGAGGGUGCAAGCGUUAAUCGGAAUUACUGGGCGUAAAGCGCACGCAGGCGGUCUGUCAAGUCGGAUGUGAAAUCCCCGGGCUCAACCUGGGAACUGCAUCCGAAACUGGCAGGCUAGAGUCUUGUAGAGGGGGGUAGAAUUCCAGGUGUAGCGGUGAAAUGCGUAGAGAUCUGGAGGAAUACCGGUGGCGAAGGCGGCCCCCUGGACAAA